AAGAAAACUGCCAAAGAAAUGUGGGACAGUCUUGCAGCAAUACAUAUUAGAAGCGGCUGUACCAGACAAAGUUGCAGCCUGGUGGUGAUUUGGUGGCACACUUGAGAUGUCUGGAGACGAUACACAGUGAAUUGAUUCGAAGGGACAUGGAGAUACCUGAUAUUCAGUAUGUAUUUACCAUUCUUUGUUCCCUUAAUGAGGACUUUGAUGGUGUAGCUAGCCAGAUAUCUGCCAUUCCACCAGCACAAUUAACUGUGGAAGGGGUAACAGCAAGAUUAAUGGGCGAGCUGGACAGAAGGGAGGCUUGCGUGAUAAGCACUCCUAUUUCCAGAAAUAAUGAGGAACGCCGUAUGCAAACUUGUGGUGAUACAACUGCAUUUAAAGCUGCCAAGAGUUGUUGGUUCUGCAAUAAACAAGGACAUUUUGCAAAGGACUGCAGAUCCAAAAGAAAGCAAAGUACUCCUAAGUCUGCUUCUGUUCGUCAAUCACAGUCGUCAGCUGAGCAGCCAACAUCAUAUCAUAAAGACAGAAAGGAGCCGUGAGCUUUUCAUGCUCGGACAACAGAUCAUAAAAGAAUUAAAGGUGCCAAGUGGAAUAGCUAACAGCAACAUCUUCUCAGUCUGAGAUGCUCUCUUGGCUUCCAGCCAAGAGAGGACAAAGGAACUAUCUCCUUAUGGGAUAGAUUCCAGGUCUAUAUAUUUUGUAACUUAAGUCUGCCUUCUGGGAUCCAUCUGUGAACAGAAUGUGAGUAAACUAUUUUAUACUUUUAUACAAGACUGUGUCGUGUCUAAUCUUUUUAAGAGGGAAUAAAGGGAAAAUUACCAGGAAACUUAUUUUAGAGGCUUAUACAAGCCUGGCAAACGUUAUCCGCUAAGAAAAGGGAAAAAGGGAAUGUUACUCUGCUAAAUUAUAGAACUUAUUAACACAAGUUGGGAAGGAUAUAAUUAAACAACAUAUGCUCUCCUGCCUCCCUGAACAUUCCCACAGUCUGGGGGUCUGGCUGCCUUUGAGGAACUUGACAGUCUUUUCUUGCCUUGUCCUGACUUUGGAACACAUCCUGUGGAAAUGCAUGAAGCCUUCCCAAGUGUGCCCAGUCGCUUGUUCCUCACUGAGUUUGAGAUACAAUUAGGCGCUCAGGUAGAGUAAAUAAACACCUGCAAACUUGCAUUUCAUCACCAACCAGAACCUCCAGCUGAACAGAGUCCUUUUGUGUGGGAUCUGCCUCAGCCAGCCUUUUGCUCAGUAUAUAUCAAGGAAUCAUGACAGGCUGGAUCCUUGGAUCCCCUGGUGACUUCAAGAAAGGCUUUCCUCCCAAAUCAUUUUGUCUUUCUAAUCAGAAGAGAAUCCACUAUUGAGAAUGACCUCUCUCUGCUCUGGUGACAUGUGGGGGAAAUGUUCAAACAUCGUACAUGAUACUGGCGACUCUCUUACGCAUUCCCACAAAGGAGAAGUUAUCUUUAAGGCUUCUGACAGAAAGUGCUGUUGCACCUUUGACCGUCCCCAGUUGUCAUUUCAGGGAAUUAGGAUGCGCGGCUGACCCUGAACAUCUGGUAGGGCUCUUUGGAUCUGAAGCAUAGCUUUGCGGCCCUUGCUCAUCUGGUAACUGGAAGAGAAAAAGACUCUUCAGUAAAAAUGGCUUCCUUGAUUUUAUGCCUCCAACCUGUUUGCUGGAAUUAGAGAGGACAAAGAUCUCAGAAAACAUUUUCAGGUGGGGGAGUAAAUGGGGAAAGUCUUGACUUUGGUGCCUGUCGUAUGGCAAUAAAAGGAUGCUUUUGUUAGUAA